CUUAUAUAUGGCUAUGUGUCAAGUGUUACUUCAUUUUGUGACCUCUUGAGGAUGCGUCCAGCUCUGAGAUUCUGCGACACUUGAGGUAUAUCUGAAAUUUGCAGGUAAGAGAGAGCCGUUAAAGUUUUCUGAGGAGGACAGCGACCUGAACUAAGUUGUGUUUUAUAAACACUGUCCUGGCAGCAAUGUAAAGGAUGAGUCAAGGGAAGAAGUCGAGGGCAGAGAAACCAGGUCAGGGGGCCUCAGCUGGCACAUAAGUAGAAACAGAUGUCGAAAAGGGUAAGGAGGACACUGGUUUGUGAAGCCAGGAAGAUGUAGAUUUAAAUCCUGGUACUUCCAUUCACUCGCUAUGUGGGCUGUCAAAGAUACUUGAAAUUUCCGAGUCUCAUAGGAUUAUUUUGAAGAGAAAAUGAG